CCAUUUUUAAACACUUUUGAAAACCUGUAUUUUCUUUUUUUUAAGAUAAUAAAACCAAAAGAAUUUCAAACCUGAAAACAUUUAAUAAAAGAUUUGAAUGAGAACAUAAAUCAAAUGAUUUCAAAACCUGAAUUUCAAACUUAAAAGCCAUAAUAAGAGAAUUUCAAGAGAACAUUUAAACUUUAAUAAAUGAUUCGAAAGAGAACAUUUAAACCCCCUAAAAGCAACAGGAUCGCAUCCAGGUUACAGUAUUGAAAUUAGAAUCUACCACUAUUAUUACACAACAUCUCUUACCAAAUCAGAUCAUCUUCGAUAAGAAGAAUCACUGUCAACUAUUCCAGCUAUGACUUACACUUGAAUCCCUAUAGCACAGCUCUAGCUUGCACCAACCUCAUCAACUUUCCUGAACACUCCUCGACCACUGGAUCCUCAACUCUGUCUCCUCGCCUAGCAUUAGCCUUAUCCACAAUCUCAAUCAAUCAUCUCAUCUUUUAGCCUUUCUGAAAUGGUUAGAAAGGAAUAGCAAGGGUGAGCAACAAUGCUCAGCAAGUAAUAAUAAACAAUGAUAGUUCUGAAAUGAUAUAACAGAAGAUCACGAGUUCAAGAUAUAAGAGGAUUCAACCUGAGUUCAUGAGUUUCAUGGUAUUGUAUAGAAUGAUUUACAAUACCUUGCAGCAUUUAACUUGAGAAAUUCAAUCUUUCCAAAGAAUUAUUGAAUUGGACUAUCACAUUUUAAUUAAAACCAAGGUUAGGCAGCUGAUCAGUUCCGCACUAACCCCGAGCAGGCCCCGCCAUGCUCUAUCACUGGAUCCAAGGCACUCAUUGGCCUAACAUGACCACGAAUCUGGUCCACAGGUUUAUAUAAAAACAAUAAUCCAAUUCUAUAAUUCAAUAACAGGUCAACGUAUAACAACAGAACAUAAACACAAUCAAUAUCAAUGAUAGAAUAAUUCCAAAUCAAACUUUGAUAAUCAACUUUUCAUAAACCAGAGUCCAUCCUUUCAUAAAUCAUAGUUCAGGAAAUCCUUAACUAUUCAGUAUCCUCCAUUAUCGGCUAAGCAACUGAAUUUAGCCUGCUAAACCAGCAUGACAAUGGCGGGUUGAAUAAUCAAGAAGAUCCCAAGUCAUUCUAGGUUCUAAUCAUCACUGAGCAACACAUGCUUCAAUGACAAUCUGAACUUCGAAUUAAUUUGUAAAACUGGAAUUAUCUGAAUUUUUGAGGAUUAGAAAAGGAUGGAUAAAAAUAUUUGCACUUGCCAAAUAUGAAAAAGAGAGGAACGAAUAUUUGCAACACAUACGAAAAGAAUGAAUCAGAAUAAUCGCAAGAUAUCCAAAAGAAGGGUAUAGGAUACUUGCCUUAAAUCUGACUCCAGUUUCAUAGCUCAACCUCAUCUUUCCACUUUCACAAUCUAUCCAUCUCAUAAUCUCUAGACCAUCUCUAGCUAUACUCUAUUCGCCACAUCGCUUCGCUUACUCGAUUCAUCCCUUAUUCGCUUUUCAAUACCAUUCCGACUUUCUGACGUCUUCGAGCGUAUACGUCUCCUCCAAAUCCUUUACGAGAAUAAGAUAAUACUAUAGUCACUAAAUAAUAUAUCGCAUAUACAUAUCACGUAUACCGAUACCCACUUAUACAACCCUUUAAACUCAUCAAAUAUCACUUAACACAUAAUCAUGCUUUGACUCUACCAUAUAGUCCAAUCAUAUUCCACAUAACAUAUUAUCAAUUAAAUAUCAUAUAAAUCUUAUCGAAAAUCCGACAUCGUCUCGUCUAUUUAUAAGACUAUCCACCUGUUAUCCUAUUUUGUCCAACAACCAAUCAACCAAUUCCAAUUCCUAUAAUCCAUAUGUCCUUAUCCAAUAUUAAUCAAAUCAUGACACUAUGUCAUAUAAGUCAUUUAUCACGUAUAUAAUAUCAGGAAUAGACAUAUAUAUCACGUAAUCAUCAAUUAAUAACAAUCCAAUAACAUAUAAUCACAUUCAGCACAUUUAACAACAAUUAUUCACAUUCUCGACUCCAUCAUAUUAUUAUGUCAUAUCAAACUAGACUUUAUAAGCUUUCAUCUCUCUUUCGUUUCACUUGAUUCCGACUUACGGAUCAAAAGUUAUGACCAAAACCGUUUUCUGACUCCGCUCUCAACAUAUAAUACCUUACACCGAUAGCAGUCAACACAUUACACAUUAAGUCUCCCAUCCCAAUUGAUGUCAAGUCAAGUCUGGGGUUAAAAAAGAUUUUUCGGGAAUUUUCCAGAAUUUUUAAACAUUUUUCGGAAUUAAAACGGAUAAAAGAAUCACUUUUUGAAUAAAUAAUCAAGUCCGGAUAUUCGAAAUUGGACUUGAAAUCAUUCAUAAACAAUUGUCGAGCCUUGAAAAUAAUUUGGAAAAAUAUUUUAAAGCUCGAAACUAUUUUUCGGAAUUUUUAAAUCAAAAAGGAUUAAUUAAAUCCAAUUAAUUAAUCAAUUAAAAUCAAUUAAUAAUUAAUUAAAAUAAUUAAUCAAUUAAUAUUUAAAUUAAUUGACCAAUUAAAAUAAUUAAUUACUAAUUAAAAUUAAUUAAUAAAUCAAAUUAGAUUUAUUUUUGAAUAAAGAAAUAAUUAAAAACUAUUUUUGAAAUUUAAAAUAAUUAAAUAAAACAAUUUUUGAAAAUUAAAAUUAAAAAGGUUUAAAGUGUCAAUGUUUAAAACUUUGUCGCAAGGUUUAAACUGCAACUUUUCAAAGUUACAGGGUUUGAAUCGUUAAAACCGAAACUAUAGUACCCAACCUUCACCAUCUUCAAAAGAUGGGUGGCCAAACGGAAAUUUUCCGCCGGCCACCACCCAACUCGCCGGAAACGACCAUACGAGCCACCACCUUCAUCCAAACUCUCCAGAAUUAAAGUAUAUACAUCCAUAAACUCGUACAAACAAUCACUUUCACCAAACCACACUUGUUUUAGCCGGAUUUUGUCCGGAAAGAGGGGCCGUCGUCGAGUUCUUCAAGAACUCCGGCGAACCCGACCCACGAAUCCCACAUACAAUUUGAACACUGAAAUCGAUUCCUUGCAACCCCUAGAACAUGCCAAUACCCUUCAAUUUUACCCAGACUUCCCCGAUUAAAAAGCCCCAAAAUCGAAUUGAAACAUUCAAGAACACUCAAGAACACCCCUCAAGAAUCAAACCCACUUUUCUAGGUGUUAUGGAACUCAAAAAUCAACAUAUAAUAUACCAAAACGACGAGAAAAACACGUUCUACAACAUGGAAUCAUCCAAACAAUCAAACAAACACGUUUACAAAAAUUCAUCAUUUAAAUCAUAUAAAUUCGAAUUUUGAAAAAUAAAUAUAAAAUCACCUGACAAAUCUGCACAUAAACGGAUGAUUGUACUAGAUUCUACGCGUCGAUAGCUUCGUUUUGACUAUUCAUACGCCUCCAUCGGAUUCAAAUAACACCUUCAAAACCUUGUUUGAUUACGAAGAACACGAAGAACGCAGCUCGGUUUCUCUCGGUAUUUGUGAACAGAAACUGGUGAAAAUGAUUUACGGUUGAAAAUAAGCUCUAGAAAGGUCUAUUUAUAUUUACAAAUAAUUGGUACCCCUUUGGAUCGUUUAUGACAUGAAAAUACGUAUUUAAUAGCUUUAUAUUAAUAAAGCAGGGUCCAAUCGGUACUGGUUUUCGAGAUAAUCAUCAAAACAGGACUUUUUAAUCAGUCAUUAGUAUGCGGGUCCCAUCGCAAUUAUUACAAGAUAAGAAUUAAUAUAAUAAUCAAAAUAUCUAGUUUCACGCUUAUCGAGACAAACUGGAUAAUUAUCAACAAUUAAAAUACCCGAAAAACUCCGCCGGACCGACUCCGGGGAAAACCGUACUCCGGAUCGAAAAAGUCAAAACACGAAAAAUGUCCGGAAUAUUCAAAUUAGGCUAAAGGUGAGUUUUGUUGAAACUUCCGGGAAGAAAAUUUGCUACCUCGUUACGAGUGGACGGUUUUACGGAAGUCAAAUAAUUAAUAAAUAAAUAUAAAUAUACGCAAUUAAAUCCGUAAAUCGAUUAUAAAAUCAUCUAACAUUCCAUAAAUCGAUAUGAAAAUAUCCAAAUAAACUAUAUUUUCUCCUGAGCAUAUAGAAAUUGAAAUCUCUCAAAUACGAACACAUAUGAGCAGUCAACUCAAUAAACCAGAUAAUACAAAAUUCACAAAAAUUCAUAUAUUAAUCAUAUAAUAUUAAUAAUUAAUCAUAACUAAUUAACAAACAAAUUCACCAAUACCACUUAAUCACAUAACACAUAUAUUCACAUAAUAUUCAUACAGAAUUUUCAAAACAAUAUAUGAAAAUCAGUUUUGAAAAUACAAUUAUUUAUCAAUAACACAAUAACCCGGGGUUUAAAUAUAAAACCUUGAAAACUCAUUAAACUGGAAUAAAAUAUUAAAUCUUAUUCCCUUCUUUGAAGAAAAUCACUUUUAAUACUAAUAAAAAUAUUUUUAAAAAUCCGGGUCAUUACAAUCUACCCUCCUUAUAGGGAUUCCGUCCUCGGAAUCAGAGAAAGAAGGAGGACGCAUAAUUAGUAUAAUCCAUAUUAAUCCACAGAACAAGUAUAAUCAUAUAAAACUAUUCACAUAAUCAAUUCACUUUUCAACUAAAGCCAACAAUAAUAUUUAGACAAAUAGAUUUAUAAUAAUCAAAUCUAAAUUUAAUAAUAUGGGAUAUUACAUUCUACCCCCCUUAUAAGGAUUCUGUCCUCAGAAUCCGCGAUGAGAACUAAAACGUAUCAUUUAUAAGAUCAUUGUACACGCUUCAUAAUAUCACAUGCUCAUCCGCCUUUGAUCAACUUUGGCAUACCUUCAAAGUUAAAGAAAUAGGAGAAUCAAAACCUUCACAAUUGCAAACUUCAUUUCCCAAGAAUCAAUCUUUGGGAAUUUCGGAGGAACAAGAUAUUUUCAAAAUAGGUCACAUUGGAAUACAAGAGUGACUGGGAGAUCAAUAAGAUCAAUUGAACUUAAUGUUGCGUGUCCAUAUUAGACACUACUAAAGGUUGUUAACCUUCUUGUAAUCACAACACACACAAGUGAUGGCGUCCCAUCCAACUCCUAUCACACAGACAGGUAUACCUUGUGUCCCCUAUACAUAGGGUUGUUCAUCCCAAUCAGAUGGAAAGAAUCCAAGAAAUCUCAAUGAGCAUCAAGGAAUGUUAAGGAUUAUCGAGGAAUAUAUUAAGGAAUAUCGAAAAGAUAUCAAAGAAUAUCAAAGAGUGUCAAAGAAUAUCAACGAAUAUUAAGGGAUAUCAAAGAAUAUGGAAGAAUAUCAAGGGAUAUCAAAGAAUAUCAAAUAAUAUCAAGGAAUUCCACUGUCUCUUCAUAAACACGCCUUUAUCAUACACCGAUUCAAUACUAACUCACACCAAUAAUCAAUAUCAUUGUCAUCAUAGAAUUCGAGAAAUUGAAGAUCUUCUUUAUCAGAACUUUUUAUAGAAUAGGUAUCAUAAUAAUAACUCGCUGAUGAGGAAAACAAUCAAAAGAAUCUUUAGUUGAAGAGAGGUAUUGCCAAGGUCUUCUCAGAUUUUCGCUCUGCUUCAAUAAAUCGUUGUUCGUCGUAUGUCUUCUUCUCCACGUUCUCGAUAAUCAAUCGAUGUUGACUCGUAAUAACCUUGUAAAAUUUCAUCGUCGACAUUAUCGUUCGUAAUAACUCUCGCCCAUGUAGUCUUCGUUUUUUUUUUUUUUCUAUUUCAUUCCAUCUGCCUUUGAAGUCCAUAGCACAGCACGUAGCAUAUCUUCGAUUAUCUGGAUCAUCAACCUGUGGGUUAUGGGCCCACCUUGAUGCCAAUUGAAAUCCCGAUUAGCUCGAAGCGUUGUCGUCGAGGACUAACGUUCUAACUUACUCGUAGACAUCAUCUCUAAUAACUGGACUCCAUUCCACGUACUCUCUAUCAUUCACUUCUCACCUAUCAACCUCUAUCUACCAAUCUCUCCUUCUAAUCCAAUACAACUCAUACUCUACACUUACUCUUCAUAUCUUCACUCAAAACAAUAUACAUCUUCCAAAUAUCUGACAUGGUCAACAUACUAUGAACCAUGCAUUUAUAUCAUCCUCAAAUCAAUACAAUAAUCCAAUUUCAAAUAUGCAGUAUAGUCAGAAUACUCUGAACUCUGCAUUUUCACCAUUCUCAACUCAAUCAUUCACUAUCAAACUCUUCUAUAUAGGUCUAAUACUGACCUUUUCCACAAUUCACCAUCUCAAUUAGUCAACAUACUAGAAAUCAUAUGUCUAAACUUAAGAAUCCUAAUCUCUUCAAAUAUCCACACUUAACUUGAUCAUCUAACUAAACUCUAUGCUUCACUCACAUCUCUAGACUAUUCCUAAAUAGUCCGACCAUACCUCUAUGUGAGGUUACACCACAUUCUUCUCUAGAAAACCUAUAACUAUGAUCUAUAUUCUAAUUUCAAAUACUUAUAACCUGUGGCUCUGAUACCAACUGUGACGGUCCGAGAAUCCGGGGGCCUGGAUUCUGACGUCACCACAUAAAAACCUUUUUAAAACACUUUCGAAAACCUGAAAAUUUUUUUUUUUUUUUUUUUAUUUUUAGAUAAUAAAAUCAGAGAAUUUAAAACCUGAAAACAUUUAAUAAAAGAUUUGAAUGAGAACAUAAAUCGAAUGAUUUCAAAACCUGAAUUUCAAACUUGAAAGCCAUAAUAGGAGAAUUUCAAGAGAACAUUUAAACUUUAAUAAAUGAUUCGAAAGAGAACAUUUAAACCCCCUAAAAGCAACAGGAUCGCAUCCAGGUUACAGUAUUGAAAUUAGAAUCUACCACUAUUAUUACACAACAUCUCUUACCAAAUCAGAUCAUCUUCGAUAAGAAGAAUCACUGUCAACUAUUCCAGCUUGCACCAACCUCAUCAACUUUCCUGAACACUCCUCGACCACUGGAUCCUCAACUCUGUCUCCUCGCCUAGCAUUAGCCUUAUUCACAAUCUCAAUCAAUCAUCUCAUCUUUAAGCCUUUCUGAAAUGGUUAGAAAGGAAUAGCAAGGGUGAGCAACAAUGCUCAGCAAGUAAUAAUAAACAAUGAUAGUUCUGAAAUGAUAUAACAGAAGUUCACGAGUUCAAGAUAUAAGAGGAUUCAACCUGAGUUCAUGAGUUCAUGGUAUUGUAUAGAAUGAUUUACAAUACCUUGCAGCAUUUAAACUGAGAAAUUCAAUCUUUCCAAAGAAUUAUUGAAUUGGACUAUCACAUUUUAAUUAAAACCAAGGUUAGGCAGCUGAUCAGUUCCGCACUAACCCCGAGCAGGCCCCGCCAUGCUCUAUCACUGGAUCCAAGGCACUCAUUGGCCUAACAUGACCACGAAUCUGGUCCACAGGUUUAUAUAAAAACAAUAAUCCAAUUCUAUAAUUCAAUAACAGGUCAACGUAUAACAACAGAACAUAAACACAAUCAAUAUCAAUGAUAGAAUAAUUCCAAAUCAAACUUUGAUAAUCAACUUUUCAUAAACCAGAGUCCAUCCUUCCAUAAAUCAUAGUUCAGGAAAUCCUUAACUAUUCAGUAUCCUCCAUUAUCGGCUAAGCAACUGAAUUUAGCCUGCUAAACCAGCAUGACAAUGGCGGGUUGAAUAAUCAAGAAGAUCCCAAGUCAUUCUAGGUUCUAAUCAUCACUGAGCAACACAUGCUUCAAUGACAAUCUGAACUUCGAAUUAAUUUGUAAAACUGGAAUUAUCUGAAUUUUUGAGGAUUAGAAAAGGAUGGAUAAAAAUAUUUGCACUUGCCAAAUAUGAAAAAGAGAGGAACGAAUAUUUGCAACACAUACGAAAAGAAUGAAUCAGAAUAAUCGCAAGAUAUCCAAAAGAAGGGUAUAGGAUACUUGCCUUAAAUCUGACUCCAGUUUCAUAGCUCAACCUCAUCUUUCCACUUUCACAAUCUAUCCAUCUCAUAAUCUCUAGACCAUCUCUAGCUAUACUCUAUUCGCCACAUCGCUUCGCUUACUCGAUUCAUCCCUUAUUCGCUUUUCAAUACCAUUCCGACUUUCUGACGUCUUCGAGCGUAUACGUCUCCUCCAAAUCCUUUACGAGAAUAAGAUAAUACUAUAGUCACUAAAUAAUAUAUCGCAUAUACAUAUCACGUAUACCGAUACCCACUUAUACAACCCUUUAAACUCAUCAAAUAUCACUUAACACAUAAUCAUGCUUUGACUCUAUCAUAUAGUCAAGUCAUAUUCCACAUAACAUAUUACCAAUCACUUAUCAUAUAAAUCCUAUCGAUAAUCUGACAUCAUCUCGUCUAUUUAUUAGACUAUCCUCCGGUCAACCUAUUUCAAUCAACAACCAAUCAACCAACUCCAGUCAUCAUAAUCCAUAUAUCCUUAUCCAAUAUUAAUCAAAUCAUGACACUAUGUCAUAUAAGUCAUUUAUCACGUAUAUAAUAUCAGGAAUAGACAUAUAUAUCACGUAAUCAUCAAUUAAUAACAAUCCAAUAACAUAUAAUCACAUUCAGCACAUUUAACAACAAUUAUUCACAUUCUCGACUCCAUCAUAUUAUUAUGUCAUAUCAAACUAGACUUUAUAAGCUUUCAUCUCUCUUUCGUUUCACUUGAUUCCGACUUACGGAUCAAAAGUUAUGACCAAAACCGUUUUCUGACUCCGCUCUCAACAUAUAAUACCUUACACCGAUAGCAGACAACACAUUACACAUUAAGUCUCCCAUCCCAAUUGAUGUCAAGUCAAGUCUUGGGUUAAAAAUGAUUUUUCGGGAAUUUUCUGGAAUUUUUAAACAUUUUUCGGAAUUAAAAUCGAUAAAAGAAUCACUUUUCGGAUAAAUAAUCAAGUCCCAAAUACUUGAAAUUGGACUUGAAAUCAUUCAUAAACAAUUAUCGAGCCUUGAAAAUAAUUUGGAAAAAUAUUUUAAAGCUCGAAACUAUUUUUCGGAAUUUUUAAAUCAAAAAGGAUUAAUUAAAUCCAAUUAAUUAAUCAAUUAAAAUCAAUUAAUAAUUAAUUAAAAUAAUUAAUCAAUUAAUAUUUAAAUUAAUUGACCAAUUAAAAUAAUUAAUUACUAAUUAAAAUUAAUUAAUAAACUAAUUUAGAUUUAUUUUUGAAUAAAGAAAUAAUUAAAAACUAUUUUUGGAAUUUAAAAUAAUUAAAUAAAACAAUUUUAGAAAAUUAAAUCAAAAGGUUUAUUUUGUAAACUUUUGAAAGUUUUGUGCAGGGUUUAAAGUGCAACUUUUCAAAGUUACAGGGGGUAAUUCAUAAGUUUCAAAACCUGAGUACAAAAACUUCAUCAUCUUCAAAACUUCGGUGACCAAACAGCAAUAAGCCGCCGGCCACCACACUAACUUGCCGGAUUUUCGUUUCCAGGCGUCCUCCACUCACCAUCUACUCCAGAUCAGUAGUACACACACCCAUAAAUCAAUCCCCCAUCUUUAAUUAGGCAGAAGUCGCGCGAAUUCGCCGGAAAAUCCGGCCGAAGUCGGCGACUUCCCGCCGCCGAUGGCGGCGAUUCGAGCCACCUCCGCUCAAACCAAGCACACCAGCAUACUCCCCUUUCUCUCCUCUUUCUAUUCAUAUAUACCACUACUGCCCAGAUUUAGCGGAACCCAUUUUCCGGCCAAAAUUCAAACUUUUCCGGCAACAAGCUCAAGAACACCAAGAACACAAUUUCAAUAAUCAAACUGACUUUUCUACAUGUUAUUGAACUCCGUUUUUGACAUAUAAUAUACCAAAACGACGAGAAAAACAUGCUCUACAUCAUAGAAUCAUCAAAUCACAUAAACGGAAUCGUUUGCAAAAAUUCAUCAUUUAAAUCAUAUAAACUCGAAUUUUAGAAAAAUAAUCUAAAAUCACCUGUUGAAUCUGCAUAUAAACGGAUGAUUAAACUUGAUUCUACGCGUCGAUAGCUUCGUUUUGACUAUUUAUACGCCUCCAUCGGAUUCCAAUAACACCUUCAAAUCUUCGUUUGAUUAUGAAGAACACGAAGAACACCGCUCGGUUUCUCUCGAUAUUCGUGCAGAGAAACUGUUGAAAUGAUUUCUACGGUGAAAAUAAGUUACAGGAAAGUCUAUUUAUAUUUACAAAUAAUUGGUACCCCUUUGGAUCGUUUAUGACAUGAAAAUACGUAUUUAAUAGCUUUAUAUU
rnacentral:lncRNA from 1 species